UGUAGACAGUGUGAGAUCUCGAUUUGAUGCAUCCCCAAAAACUUUUCCAUCACUGUAGGUAAUAUCCAGAGGAGGUGGGAGCACUCAGGUGUUUCACUAGAUAAAUGAAAAAAAAAAAAUUCAACUACAGGUAAUAGUUCUUGCCACUGUUCCCUCUAAGCUGCGCGCGUGCGCAAUUGCGCACUGCUGACACGGUCUCCGCGCACAGAAAAUCUGCGCUGCGCACAAAAAAAAAAUCCAACCUAAAUUGUAAAUAAAAUAAACACGUAACAAUUCAUUCUGUGCUAUUUUUCAAUGUGAGUCAGUGAGUGACCGGUGACUGGCUGCUGCAGCCAAUGAUGCGAUUCACAUACGUAUUUACCAUAGACUGUAUAUAAUGGUAUUUACGCAGCUAAUCUACGUCAGACGUCCUUAUGCGCAGCUACCGUUGUUCUCAUAGAUAUGAAUGAGUAGAUAGGACACGCCCCUUUGAGCUGCGGCUACAGCGAGGCUAAGCUAGUGGGGGAAAAGUUUCAGUGCAUUCCGUUGAUGUAGACGGCGUGAAAACGGAAACAACAAGUAUGCCGGCUCACUGUGCUGUAUACAGUUACACACUACGUCGUACGAUUGAGACAAGGAAACUUGGAAUGACUUUUCAUAGGUAACAAUAGUUUUUGGCUCUUUUUUCAUUAUGAAAUCUUGUUGAGAGCUUCCAGUCUAUGAGAGCUAACUAGUUAGCCACUAGCAAAACACUAAGGCGAGCUAGCAGCUUGACAACCAAAUACCAGACGAUUAAUAGUAGCUGUAGUAUAGUUGUACAAGCAGUAGUAGUAAUACUAAAAGUACAAGCAGCAGUAGUAGUAUAAACAGCUGUUAGAGUCGUAGAAGUAGUAUCAGCAUUUGUAAUAGUAUUACAAGUUGUAGUAGCAGUGCCAGUAUCAGCAGCAGUAGUGAGUACUACCACUACUACUAGUAGUAGUCACAUUGCUAUUACUACCACCAAUACUACCAAUAGUAGUUAUAAAGCCUAACUCAUGUAUAUCCAGAUUACCAUCUAUGUUCUUCCUCCAAACCCAUUUUAUGAUUGGGAUUACAGGCAGUUCUUUAGGACUGCUCUCAAAUAAUUGAAAUGUUACUAAACAAGGUUAUACUUGUCAAAUUAAAUAGCUCUGGUCUCCAGUAUAUUGGCGAAUUCGGUUCUUUGUACUUAAUUUAUUAGCAUGAUUUCUUUUUAAUAUGUUGUGUACAGACUUAAUUACUUCUCUGUCUACUUUUCUUACUCCAUGUUGGUUUCCCAGAGACUAUGGGUUGAGGAGGAAUUGGAAGUUUGUCGGCUUAGACCUGGUGUCAUUCCAUCAGUGUUAAACUUCCCGGCUCAUCUUGGAAGAGUACGUGCCAGAAAGACCACGACCAAGCAGCCUUGAGAUCUUAGGCAGCGUCUCCCUGAGACCAAAGAACUACAGACUCUUCAGAACCUGCUCAAACUCUUGAUACAGGACCUCACCACACGGGUCAAGAAGGUUUCCAUCUCAUUUCUACUCUGAAGCUCACCUUCUCCUGCUCAAACUGCUGACAAAUGUUUCUGCUGCUCUAAAGUCUGCUCUCCAGAACUUACUAAAAACUCUCAAAGUCU